AGCAGCCGCGGUAAUUCCAGCUCCAAUAGCGUAUAUUAAAGUUGUUGCAGUUAAAAGCUCGUAGUUGAAUUUCGGGGUUCUACCGUCGGUCGGGCUACCAAGUCUGUACUGGUGUGUAGAAUUUCUACCUUCUGGGGAACCAUCAUGUUAUUAAUUUAGCGUGGUGGGAAACCAGGACCUUUACCUUGAAAAAUUAGAGUGUUCAAAGCAGGCUUAUGUCUGAAUACAUUAGCAUGGAAUAAUAGAAUAGGACGGUGGUCCUGUUUUGUUGGUUUCUGAAUCACCGUAAUGAUUAAUAGGGAUAGUUGGGGGCAUUAGUAUUCAAUUGUCAGAGGUGAAAUUCUUGGAUUUAUUGAAGACUAACUUCUGCGAAAGCAUUUGCCAAGGAUGUUUUCAUUAAUCAAGAACGAAAGUUAGGGGAUCGAAGACGAUCAGAUACCGUCGUAGUCUUAACCAUAAACUAUGCCGACUAGGGAUCGGACGAUGUUAAAUUUUAUUGACUCGUUCGGCGCCUUACGGGAAACCAAAGUGUUUGGG
rnacentral:rRNA from 1 species